GACGAACGCUGGCGGCGUGCUUAACACAUGCAAGUCGAACGGUAAGGCCCCAGCUUGCUGUGGUACACGAGUGGCGAACGGGUGAGUAACACGUGGGUGACCUGCCCUGCACUUCGGGAUAAGCCUGGGAAACUGGGUCUAAUACCGGAUAGGACCCUGGUGUGGGUGUUGUGGUGGAAAGUUUUUGCGGUGUGGGAUGGGCUCGCGGCCUAUCAGCUUGUUGGUGGGGUAAUGGCCUACCAAGGCGUCGACGGGUAGCCGGCCUGAGAGGGUGGACGGCCACAUUGGGACUGAGACACGGCCCAGACUCCUACGGGAGGCAGCAGUGGGGAAUAUUGCACAAUGGGCGGAAGCCUGAUGCAGCGACGCCGCGUGGGGGAUGACGGCCUUCGGGUUGUAAACUCCUUUCGCCAUCGACGAAGGGUUUCUGACGGUAGAUGGAGAAGAAGCACCGGCUAACUACGUG
rnacentral:rRNA from 1 species